rnacentral:RNase_P_RNA from 1 species
CGAGCCGGUCGGGUUGUCGCGCCACGCGUGAGGAAAGUCCGCACUCUGCAGGGCAGGAUAGCGGGUAACGCCCGUCCGCCGAGAGGCGAGGACCAGUGGCACAGAGACUAAUGCCGGGUAAAGCCGGAGUGAAAAGGCCAAACUCUAUCCGGAGCAAGCCCAAGCCGGGACGAUGACGCGGCCCGCCGAGUCCCAGGUGGGGUGCAAAGAACCGCCGGGCAACCGGUCGGUCAAGAUAGAUGGCAACCGAUUACAGAAUGCGGCUUAUAGAUCGGCUCGGUGA